rnacentral:tRNA from 1 species
GCGGCAGUAGUUCAGUGGUAGAAUGCUUCGUUGCCAACGAAGAGGUCGCCGGUCCGAAUCCGGUCUGCCGCU